rnacentral:rRNA from 1 species
GUGGGGAAUAUUGCACAAUGGGCGCAAGCCUGAUGCAGCCAUGCCGCGUGUGUGAAGAAGGCCUUCGGGUUGUAAAGCACUUUCAGCGGGGAGGAAGGCGGUGAGGUUAAUAACCUCACCGAUUGACGUUACCCGCAGAAGAAGCACCGGCUAACUCCGUGCCAGCAGCCGCGGUAAUACGGAGGGUGCAAGCGUUAAUCGGAAUUACUGGGCGUAAAGCGCACGCAGGCGGUCUGUCAAGUCGGAUGUGAAAUCCCCGGGCUCAACCUGGGAACUGCAUUCGAAACUGGCAGGCUAGAGUCUUGUAGAGGGGGGUAGAAUUCCAGGUGUAGCGGUGAAAUGCGUAGAGAUCUGGAGGAAUACCGGUGGCGAAGGCGGCCCCCUGGACAAAGACUGACGCUCAGGUGCGAAAGCGUGGGGAGCAAACAGGAUUAGAAACCCUGGUAGUCC